CGAGCGGACUACGCGGUCGCGGCGUACUUACAAGUACGAUGAGGAAAGUCCGGGCAUCGCAGGGCAGGACGCCUGAUAACGUCAGGUGAAGGCGACUUUAAGGAAAGUGCAACAGAAAUAGACCGCCACGUUCCCUUUUGUAGGGCUCCCGCAAAAAGACGUAAGUAUUUUUGUGGGAAGAGGAAACACAACGAAGCGAAGUUGUUCUUUGCCGUAAGGCAAAGGACAUAGAGCGGAGUUUGUGUUGACGUGGUAAGGAUGGAAAGGCGAGGUAAGAGCUCACCGACGGUUUGGUAACAAGCCGUGCCAUGUAAACCCCGUCCGAUGCAAGUUUGGGCUUUGCUCACAUAGGGUUGCCCGCCCGAGCAAAGCCGUGAAUAACGCUUGAACCUGUCGGUGACGACAGGUCUAGAUAAAUGACCGCGCAUGACAGAACCCGGCUUACAGGUCCACUCGGAGC
rnacentral:RNase_P_RNA from 1 species